UACGAAGGGGGCUAGCGUUGCUCGGAAUCACUGGGCGUAAAGGGUGCGUAGGCGGGUCUUUAAGUCAGGGGUGAAAUCCUGGAGCUCAACUCCAGAACUGCCUUUGAUACUGAAGAUCUUGAGUUCGGGGAGAGGUGAGUGGAACUGCGAGUGUAGAGGUGAAAAUUCGUAGAUAUUCGCAAGAACACCAGUGGCGAAGGCGGCUCACUGGCCCCGAUACUGACGCUGAUGCACGAAAGCGUGGGGGGAGCAAACAGG
rnacentral:rRNA from 1 species